GACGAACGCUGGCGGCGUGCUUAACACAUGCAAGUCGAACGGAAAGGCCCUGCUUUUGUGGGGUGCUCGAGUGGCGAACGGGUGAGUAACACGUGAGUAACCUGCCCUUGACUUUGGGAUAACUUCAGGAAACUGGGGCUAAUACCGGAUAGGAGCUCCUGCUGCAUGGUGGGGGUUGGAAAGUUUCGGCGGUUGGGGAUGGACUCGCGGCUUAUCAGCUUGUUGGUGGGGUAGUGGCUUACCUAGGCCUUGACGGGUAGCCGGCCUGAGCGGGUGACCGGCCACAUUGGGACUGAGAUACGGCCCAGACUCGAACGGGAGGCAGCAGUGGAGAAGAGUGCACAAUGGGCGGAAGCCUGAUGCAGCAACGCCGCGUGCGGUAUGACGUCCUUCGGGUUGUAAACCGCUGUCGCCUGUGACGAAGCGUGAGUGACGGUAAUGGGUAAAGAAGCACCGGCUAACUACGUG
rnacentral:rRNA from 1 species